UACGUAGGGGGGCUAGCGUUGUCCGGAAUCAUUGGGCGUAAAGAGCGUGUAGGCGGUCCGGUAAGUCCGCUGUGAAAAGUCGGGGGGCUCAACCCUCGAAUGCCGGUGGAUACUGUCGGGCUAGAGUGCGGAAGAGGCGAGUGGAAUUCCUGGUGUAGCGGUGAAAUGCGCAGAUAUCAGGAGGAACACCUAUUGCGAAGGCAGCUCGCUGGGACGUUACUGACGCUGAGACGCGAAAGCGUGGGGAGCAAACAGG
rnacentral:rRNA from 1 species